CAUUAAUAAUAAAUUUAAUAAUUUUUAAAUGGUUUAAACGGCCGCUGUAUUCUGACGGUGAUAAUGUAGGAAAAUAAAUAGUUGUUUAAUUGGCGAACGUAGGUGAAUGGUUCUACGAGAGUUUCACUGUCUUAAAUGUAAGAAGAAAAAUUUAAAUAAUAGUGAAGAUGCUAUUUUAAACUGUAAGACGAAAAGACCCUAUAAAGCUUAACUAUUAUUCUAUUAAAAAGUAUUUUAUAGAUUAUAUAUAUAUAUAUAUUGAUACAAGUAGGAAAGAUAGUUUUGUUGGGGCAACAGCAUUCUAAAAAAAAAGAAUGUAAAUUUAAAUUAACUAAAUAAUUUAUUUUAUUGUUUAAUGUAUAAAUUUAACAAUCACAAAGUGGAUUAUAAUGACCUAUCCUUAAAAAAAAAUUUUUAAGGAUAAUAAAUAAAUAAAAGCUACUUUAGGGAUAACAGGUUAAUUUAAUCUUAAAGAAGGCAUUGAAGAUUAAGUUUGACACCUCGAUGUUGAAUUAAGGUUACCUAGUAAGGCAGUUUUUA
rnacentral:rRNA from 1 species